rnacentral:rRNA from 1 species
UUCCUUUAUGAAUAUAUUAAAGGUAGAGCCUGCUCAGUGAUAGUAAAUAAUAAACAGCCGCGGUAUCUUAACUGCGCGAAGGUAGCAUAAUUAAUUGUCUUUUAAUUGGUGACUUGUUUGAAUGGCUUAAUGAGGGUUAAACCUUUUUUAUUUCCUAUUGAAUUUAUUAUCUUGGGUCAAAAUACCUAGAUUUAUAAAAAAGAAGAGAAGACCCUGAUGAGUUUUACAAUAUUUAUUGUUUAAAUGGGGCCUUACAAUUUAUUUCAUAUUUGUAUUAGAUCCUACCUUGAGGAAAAAGGACAAAAUUACCACAGGGAUAACAGGACAAAAUUUGCUGGGAGUACUUAUCUAAGCAAGGAACUGUUACCUCGAUGUUGAAUCAAAGUAAACUUUUAAGCGCAGCAGUUUUUGGAGUGGGUCUGUUCGACCUUUAAAACUUUACG